UACAGAGGGUGCGAGCGUUAAUCGGAAUUACUGGGCGUAAAGAGCGUGUAGGCGGCCAGACAGGUCCGUUGUGAAAACUAGAGGCUUAACCUCUAGACGUCGAUGGAAACCGUCUGGCUAGAGUCCGGAAGAGGAGAAUGGAAUUCCUGGUGUAGCGGUGAAAUGCGCAGAUAUCAGGAAGAACACCCGUGGCUAAGGCGGCUAUCUGGCCCGUAAUUGACGCUGAGGCGCGAAAGCGUGGGGAGCAAACAGG
rnacentral:rRNA from 1 species